UACGUAGGGGGCUAGCGUUGUCCGGAAUCAUUGGGCGUAAAGCGCGUGUAGGCGGUCCGGUAAGUCCGCUGUGAAAGUCGGGGGCUCAACCCUCGAAUGCCGGUGGAUACUGCCGGGCUAGAGUGCGGAAGAGGCGAGUGGAAUUCCUGGUGUAGCGGUGAAAUGCGCAGAUAUCAGGAGGGACACCAAUUGCGAAGGCAGCUCGCUGGGACGUUACUGACGCUGAGACGCGAAAGCGUGGGGAGCAAACAGG
rnacentral:rRNA from 1 species